CUGUGUAAACUGCAAGCGAGGUAGCUCUACUGAGUGCUGCUGCAAGCCGCAUACAUUUCUCUUCCAAUAUUUCUGGAGCAUCUUCCACUUCUUCCAAUCUCGCCUUUACUCUGUCCCUUUUUUCUUGCCUGUGGUUAACCUCUUUGACGACGUCUCCACAGGAUAGUAAAAUGUCCUUUUCCUCGUGAGUCCGAUCAGUUUCCGACUUCUGUAGUAUCGAGGCGACCUGAAUACAAAAGGUGUUAGUCAAGAGCCGAGUAUAAAUACGGAUAUUUGUUUACAAUGGGAAAUGAGCGAUAA